rnacentral:rRNA from 1 species
ACAGAGGUUGCAAACGUUGUUCGGAAUCACUGGGCAUAAAGCGCACGUAGGCGGCUAAUUAAGUUAGGUGUGAAAUCCCCCGGCUCAACCGGGGAACUGCGCCUGAUACUGAUUGGCUUGAGAACGGUAGGGGUGAGCGGAACUCCAGGUGGAGCGGUGAAAUGCGUAGAUAUCUGGAGGAAUACCGGUGGCGAAGGCGGCAUCCUGGACCGGCAUUGACGCUGAAGCGCGAAAGCUAGGGGAGCAAACGGGA